AUUGAACGCUGGCGGCAGGCCUAACACAUGCAAGUCGAACGAGUGGCGGACGGGUGAGUAAUGUCUGGGAAACUGCCUGAUGGAGGGGGAUAACUACUGGAAACGGUAGCUAAUACCGCAUACCAUCGGAUGUGCCCAGAUGGGAUUAGCUAGUAGGUGGGGUAACGGCUCACCUAGGCGACGAUCCCUAGCUGGUCUGAGAGGAUGACCAGCAACACUGGAACUGAAGAACGGUCCAGACUCCUACGGGAGGCCGCGGUGGGGAAAAUUGCAAAAUGGGCGCAAGCCUGAUGCAGCCAUGCCGCGUGUAUGAAGAAGGCCUUCGGGUGGUAAAGUACUUUCAGCGGGGAGGCGUUACCCGCAGAAGAAGCACCGGCUAACUCCGUGCCAGCAGCCGCGGUAAUUC
rnacentral:rRNA from 1 species